rnacentral:rRNA from 1 species
UUCACUCCCAAACCCAAUGUGAACCAUACCAAACUGUUGCCUCGGCGGGGUCACGCCCCGGGUGCGUCGCAGCCCCGGAACCAGGCGCCCGCCGGAGGGACCAACCAAACUCUUUCUGUAGUCCCCUCGCGGACGUUAUUUCUUACAGCUCUGAGCAAAAAUUCAAAAUGAAUCAAAACUUUCAACAACGGAUCUCUUGGUUCUGGCAUCGAUGAAGAACGCAGCGAAAUGCGAUAAGUAAUGUGAAUUGCAGAAUUCAGUGAAUCAUCGAAUCUUUGAACGCACAUUGCGCCCGCCAGUAUUCUGGCGGGCAUGCCUGUCCGAGCGUCAUUUCAACCCUCGAACCCCUCCGGGGGGUCGGCGUUGGGGACUUCGGGAACCCCUAAGACGGGAUCCCGGCCCCGAAAUACAGUGGCGGUCUCGCCGCAGCCUCUCCUGCGCAGUAGUUUGCACAACUCGCACCGGGAGCGCGGCGCGUCCACGUCCGUAAAACACCCAACUUCUGAAAUGUUGACCUCGGAUCAGGUAGGAAUACCCGCUGAACUUAAGCAUAUCAAUAAGCCGGAGGAA